rnacentral:rRNA from 1 species
UACGUAGGGUGCGAGCGUUAAUCGGAAUUACUGGGCGUAAAGUGUGCGCAGGCGGCCGAGCAAGUCGAGUGUGAAAGCCCCGAGCUUAACUUGGGAACUGCGCUCGAAACUACUUGGCUAGAGUGUGGCAGAGGGAGGUGGAAUUCCACGUGUAGCGGUGAAAUGCGUAGAUAUGUGGAGGAACACCGAUGGCGAAGGCAGCCCCCUGGGUCAAGAUUGACGCUCAUGCACGAAAGCGUGGGGAGCAAACAGG